CCUACGGGGGGCAGCAGUGAGGAAUAUUGGUCAAUGGGCGCUAGCCUGAACCAGCCAAGUAGCGUGAAGGAUGACUGCCCUACGGGUUGUAAACUUCUUUUAUAUGGGAAUAAAGUGAGGCACGUAUACCUCUUUGUAUGUAUUUUAUGAAUAAGGAUCGGCUAACACCGUGCCAGCAGCCGCGGUAAUAUGGAGGAUCCGAGCGUUAUCCGGAUUUAUUGGGUUUAAAGGGAGCGUAGACGGGUUGUUAAGUCAGUUGUGAAAGUUUGCGGCUCAACCGUAAAAUUGCAGUUGAUACUGGCAGCCUUGAGUACAGUAGAGGUAGGCGGAAUUCGUGGUGUAGCGGUGAAAUGCUUAGAUAUCACGAAGAACUCCGAUUGCGAAGGCAGCCGGCUGGACUGCAACUGACGCUGAUGCUCGAAAGUGUGGGUAUCAAACAGGAUUAGAUACCCGUGUAGUC
rnacentral:rRNA from 1 species